rnacentral:rRNA from 1 species
AUUGAACGCUGGCGGCAUGCCUUACACAUGCAAGUCGAACGGUAACAGGCCGCAAGGUGCUGACGAGUGGCGAACGGGUGAGUAAUGCAUCGGAACGUGCCCAGUCGUGGGGGAUAACGCAGCGAAAGCUGCGCUAAUACCGCAUACGAUCUAUGGACGAGAGCGGGGGACCGUAAGGCCUCGCGCGAUUGGAGCGGCCGAUGUCAGAUUAGGUAGUUGGUGGGGUAAAGGCCUACCAAGCCAACGAUCUGUAGCUGGUCUGAGAGGACGACCAGCCACACUGGGACUGAGACACGGCCCAGACUCCUACGGGAGGCAGCAGUGGGGAAUUUUGGACAAUGGGCGCAAGCCUGAUCCAGCAAUGCCGCGUGCAGGAAGAAGGCCUUCGGGUUGUAAACUGCUUUUGUACGGAACGAAACGGUCCGGGUUAAUACCCUGGGCUAAUGACGGUACCGUAAGAAUAAGCACCGGCUAACUACGUGCCAGCAGCCGCCGUAAUAC